rnacentral:lncRNA from 1 species
GGCAUGAGGAUUGAGUCGACUCGUGCAGAAUUCGAGUCGAUACCUUUACAGGAACAGAAAACUAUUAUUUAGAUCCUAUAGCUAAGCCGACUCGAUAAGAUUUUGAGUUGAUUCGGAGAUGACAGGAGUCAAUUUGAAGACAGUCGAGUCGACUCGAGCUACAGGACAGACUUCAACGGUUAGUUUUUUGUACUUCUCCAAUGGAGUGAUUUUCACUCCAAUGGCUAGUUCAACC